AAUGGGUUUUGGUCCCGUUACUCGGAGGUUCGAAUCCUUCCGUCCCAG
rnacentral:tRNA from 6 species